CACCGAGACUGAUGACUCCAGCUCUGUGAGACAUUACAGCAUGUACUGUACUACCAGCGGCACCAUGGAGCUAGUCAUUAAUAUUUGCAUGAAAAAGAUAUUUUUCAGAGCAAGUGGAUUCAUCAAAACUGGACCAGUUCACGUCACAAUUCUUCUGGGACAGAAAAUUACAUUUCUGCACAGCCACAGAUGUUGCCUGCCACUGACCAGCAUGGAAGCUAGAAGCCUGCAUUGAAGCACAAUACACGUUUUGGUUGGAGUUUCAUAGGGAGAAGCCUGCAGUCUUUUUCUAUUCAGCUACAUAAUCUGGAAAAAAAGAACAAGUCACUACACAACAAGAUAACUACUGUAGCCUUUUUAUAGUUAUAGAUCAGCCACCUGUUUAACACAGCUAGCAACUUCUUCAGAAACAAUCCUGACCCUUAAAUCAGGAAUUAUGCUUGCCAUAAUUGCAGUACACACAUUCAAGAACCUUUUUACUCCUCUCCCCAACUUUCUCGUGAGAUUUCAUGUGUGUUUUGUGAAUGCUUACCAGGCUGUGGACUGAGGUGGUGUACUAUUAUAUUAAUCUUUUGAAAAAUUCCUAUGGGACAUCCAAAAGAAGAGCUCAUAGUCUGCAGAGUAAAUAAGUAUCAGGAAGAUGUGCAAAUGUUUAUUGCAGAAAGAGCUUUUCUAAAUGAACUCAGCUAUCUUACAGCAAACACCACAGCUAUUUCUGUUAUGCUCUCCAAAACCAUGUACUUCUCAAGUAACAUCUGCCAGAGUGAAGACUGACUUGAGUUUUCUGAAGCGCUAUAUCUAGAAGAUAUAAAAUUUCUUUAGUCCAUCAAACCAUGAUUAUUUAGUCUCAUAUUUUCCUACCAGGGUAUCAUCCCACAUUUUGUGUAAGGCCUGAGAUAGCCCUUCUUACAGCUUCCUCAUCUGAAUACUUACCAGACUGCUGUGUUUUGAUCCUACCACCUAGAGUGUACUUGUUCAUGUGCUCUUACUUUGCCUGAUAUAGAGCUAACUGAAGUUGUGAGCUCUGCGAUACUUACUAGGUAAAAGUUUGCUGUCUACUGGUCCUCUUUGUAAUGUGCAACUCAUCCUGAAGAGAGAAGGCAAAUCAGUGCUGAGCACUUAUCCCCUACUUUCAACCCAGGUUUUUUAUACCUCAUGCUUAUUUAUGCCCUUUUCUGUAGAUCCACUUUUGAUAUAUGUGCAAGUUCAUAAGGGGCUUUUUGAGUGGCAUAUAUAACUGAAACACAGAGACUCUCAUAAUAUGUGUGGAUUCUUCAUUGUAUUUAUCUGGUCUCUUUCUGCCCUAACUAGCCAGACUCCUCCCUUCUCAGUGGGUUUCUUAGCUCCGUGAGACCUCUGAGCGAUGAAGUCAGGUCCAGGCCUGCUCAGGAGUCUUUGUGAGUCUUUUUAUGUUUCGUGCAUCUCUCUUGGGCUUCAUGACAUUUAAGAUAAAGGCUUAAUUUCUGA